rnacentral:rRNA from 1 species
UACGAAGGGGGCUAGCGUUGCUCGGAAUCACUGGGCGUAAAGCGCACGUAGGCGGACUCUUAAGUCGGUGGUGAAAUCCUGGAGCUCAACUCCAGAACUGCCUUUAAUACUGGCAAUCUCGAGUCCGAGAGAGGUGAGUGGAAUUCCGAGUGUAGAGGUGAAAUUCGUAGAUAUUCGGAGGAACACCAGUGGCGAAGGCGGCUCACUGGCUCGGUACUGACGCUGAGGUGCGAAAGCGUGGGGAGCAAACAGG